UACGAGGGGGGCAAGCGUUGUUCGGAAUUACUGGGCGUAAAGAGCUCGUAGGCGGUUUGUCGCGUCGUCCGUGAAAACUUGGGGCUCAACCCCAAGCUUGCGGGCGAUACGGGCAGACUUGAGUACUGCAGGGGAGACUGGAAUUCCUGGUGUAGCGGUGAAAUGCGCAGAUAUCAGGAGGAACACCGGUGGCGAAGGCGGGUCUCUGGGCCGCAACUGACGCUGAGGAGCGAAAGCGUGGGGAGCGAACAGG
rnacentral:rRNA from 1 species